rnacentral:rRNA from 1 species
CAGGAUGAACGCUAGCGGCAGGCUUACACAUGCAAGUCGAACGGUAACAGGUCCUUCGGGAUGCUGACGAGUGGCGCACGGGUGCGUAACGCGUAUGCAAUCUGCCUCUAUCUGGAAGAUAGCCCGUAGAGAAAUCCGGAUUAAUAUUCCAUAAUAUCAUUGAUUCGCAUGUUUCAAUGAUCAAAACUCCGGUGGAUAGGGAUGAGCAUGCGUCCUAUUAGUUUGUUGGUGAGGUAACGGCUCACCAAGACUUCGAUAGGUAGGGGGCCUGAGAGGGUGAUCCCCCACACUGGUACUGAGACACGGACCAGACUCCUACGGGAGGCGGCAGUGAGGAAUAUUGGACAAUGGGCGAAAGCCUGAUCCAGCCAUGCCGCGUGCAGGAUGACAGCCCUACGGGUCGUAAACUGCUUUUAUACGGGAAGAAACCCUCUGACGUGUCAGAGACUGACGGUACCGUACGAAUAAGGAUCGGCUAACUCCGUGCCAGCAGCCGCGGUAAUACGGAGGAUCCAAGCGUUAUCCGGAUUUAUUAGGUUUAAAGGGUGCGCAGGCGGGAAGAUAAGUCAGCGGUGAAAUCCUGUAGCUCAACUACAGAACUGCCGUUGAUACUGUUUUUCUUGAGUUCGGUUGAGGUAAGCGGAAUGUGACAUGUAGCGGUGAAAUGCAUAGAUAUGUUGUGGAAAACCGAUUGCGAAGGCAGCUCACUAAGUUAGUAUUGACGCUGAGGCACGAAAGCGUGGGGAGCGAACAGGAUUAGAUACCCUGGUAGUCCACGCUGUAAACGAUGAUCACUCGCUGUUGGCGAUACACUGUCAGUGGCUGAGCGAAAGCAUUAAGUGAUCCACCUGGGGAGUACGAUCGCAAGGUUGAAACUCAAAGGAAUUGACGGGGGCCCGCACAAGCGGUGGAGCAUGUGGUUUAAUUCGAUGAUACGCGAGGAACCUUACCAGGGCUUAAAUGUAGAGUGACUGCUCCCGAAAAGGAGCUUUCUUCGGACAGUCUACAAGGUGCUGCAUGGUUGUCGUCAGCUCGUGCCGUGAGGUGUUGGGUUAAGUCCCGCAACGAGCGCAACCCCUAUUCUUAGUUGCCAGCGGUUCGGCCGGGGACUCUAAGAAAACUGCCCGCGCAAGCGGUGAGGAAGGUGGGGAUGACGUCAAAUCAUCACGGCCCUUACGUCCAGGGCCACACACGUGCUACAAUGGUAUUGACAGAGGGCAGCUACAUAGCGAUAUGAUGCUAAUCCUUAAACAAUAUCUCAGUUCGGAUUGGAGUCUGCAACUCGACUCCAUGAAGCUGGAAUCGCUAGUAAUCGCGCAUCAGCCAUGGCGCGGUGAUACGUUCCCGGGCCUUGUACACACCGCCCGUCAAGCCAUGGAAGCCGGGAGUGCCUGAAGUCGGUAACCGCAAGGAGCUGCACUAGGGUAAAACUGGCGACUGGGGCUAA